rnacentral:misc_RNA from 1 species
UAUCCAGUUGAGGCAUGAUUGAUUGAUUGAGACUAAAUUCUUCCCUCUAGACAGCUUAAAUCAAGCCUCUACUCUAAGAGUAGUAAGAAAGAGAGAGUUGGUUGUUGACCAAGAUAAAGUAUGGGAGAAUCUCUUUAUUCUUUUUAUACGCUAUUUUUAUUGAUGGGAUUCGAACCUAUGCAUAUCACUAAGAGAGCAGGGUGGUCUUCAUUGAAUUGAAUUUUUGAGUAACCUUUUUCUAUUUAUAUCAUAAGAGUUCAAUAAAG